AUGAGCAAUUCCUGUGAGUGCUGCAAGAGAUACUGGGCUCAUUUGCAUGGAAAGGUCAAGUGUUUCUUCACGCAGAUUGAUAGUCAUUCUAGGCAUAGCGUGGUCAUACCAGAGAGCUUUGUGAACUAUUUCGGAUGGAAGCUGUCAGGAACCAUUGAACUAGAAGCCCCCAAUGGUAAUGUGUACGAUGUUGGAAUUACUGAGCGUAAGAACAAAACAUUACUCAGAUCUGGGUGGGAGGCGUUUGUUGAUGCCAAUCAUAUAGUAGAGAACGACUCAUUGAUGUUCCGAUACCGUGGAAGUUGUCGCUUCAAGGUUGCGGUCUUUGAUUCUAGUGGUUGUGAGAAAGUGGUGUCCUGUGCUCGCAUACUGACCAAUACCAGUGAUCAAGAACCAAGCACAAAUUCUGCAGACAUUUCGACCAGUUUCAGUGAUGGUAAUACUCCUUCGUCAGCACGAGCACGAUCACCGAGAAAACGAGCAAAGAAAAAUGUGAUAUCUUAUCCUUCGAAGGGUUCGUCAGAAGACAGUCCUUUUGAGCAUGAGUCAUCUGAAUCCGAUGAUCAGACGCUCCCAACGCCUCUUUAUGUGUUAUCAGGGAAUUGUUAUGUAACAGAAGAAGAUGAGGCCAAUAUAUUUGCACUUGCCCAGGAAAUUCAACCUGAAAUGCCUCUGCUUGUGGCUAUGAUGACGAAGCUCAGUGUCAAACCAUAUCCUGAUCUGGUAAUUCCCAAGGAUUACGCACUCGCACACUUUCCACACAAAAACCAGACUAUCAAACUAAAGCUGCCUGAGCAGAGCAAGAAAUGGUACCGUGAGUUCCGUGUCAAAUCUGAUGGAGGUCGUUGCAAUCUUAAGGAGUGUGGCUUUGCCCGUGACAAUCAUUUACUGGAGGGAGAUUUGUGCGUCUUUCAGCCCAUGACUAAUCGUAAGGGUAGAACAUUCAAAGUGAUGGUCCAUCUACUUCGCAAAGCAAGUAUUCAUCAUCCCUCCGGUAAAAAUGGUUUGACAAGCAAAAAGAAUGCUCCAACAUUGUGUAUCAAGGAGGAACCAAAUGACGGAGAAGAAACCCCUUCUUUGGGACAUGAAGAACAUGGAAUCAGUGACGAAGAACCCUACAUGAUGCCAAGGGGAAAAUUUUGGAGAAACUUGAAGCCAUCGGGUCAGAUCUGCACAUCUACAUCGCAGUCAUGA
rnacentral:rRNA from 1 species